rnacentral:rRNA from 1 species
GACGAACCGUGCGAACGUUGUUCGGAAUCACUGGGCUUAAAGGGCGCGUAGGCGGCUUGCCAAGUCCGGGGUGAAAGCCUCCAGCUCAACUGGAGAAGUGCCUUGGAAACUGGCGAGCUCGAGCGAGGUAGGGGUCGUGGGAACUUCCGGUGGAGCGGUGAAAUGCGUUGAUAUCGGAAGGAACGCCGGUGGCGAAAGCGCACGACUGGAUCUCUUCUGACGCUGAGGCGCGAAAGCCAGGGGAGCAAACGGG